AAGCCGGAAGAAGGUAAGCCCCACACUUUGGAGACAGCGACCUUUGACUAAAGGCCUGUGGGAAAAUCUCAUUUUCAUUUUCAUUUUCAUUCUGUUCUCAUUCUCAUUCUCUUCCAUCCAGAUGACAUCAUCAUUGAAGAUUUAUAGGUAGUGCGGACCUCGGGCUCCACUGGACACCUGAGAGAGGCCAACAUCCAAAUGCACUCAGCACGUAAGACUUUCUCAAAAGCCCAUCUGUAGUUAGAGAUGCCCUGUUUCAUCUGUGAGAGAAGCAGGCACUCCUGGCGACCUGCUUACCUUUUUUCUCUUGCAGGUGACAGAACGAUGCCGGCAAGACCUCCUUCUCCAUCUUUUCAUGGGGCAGAAGGGAAGCAGUGGCUGUGGGACCAGAUCAGGUUAUAUGAUCUAUUCCCUGUGUAACUCCACGUGUCAAGAAGAAAAAGAACUGGAAGAGAAUGGAAUAAAAAUAAAUAUUUUUUAAUGGAUUUUGAAUAAAUGCACAAUAAAUUGUUACUGUUUUGAA